rnacentral:ncRNA from 1 species
GCGCGUCACGCGGGAGAGAACUCCCGAUCUGGAGUCGCCGAAGGCGCAACCCCCGGAACCGCUCAGGCAAAAGGACCGCGUGCAAAGU